GACGAACGCUGGCGGCGUGCUUAACACAUGCAAGUCGAGCGGAAAGGCCCUGCUUUUGUGGGGUGCUCGAGUGGCGAACGGGUGAGUAACACGUGAGUAACCUGUCCUUGACUUUGGGAUAACUUCAGGAAACUGGGGCUAAUACCGGAUAGGAGCUCCUGCUGCAUGGUGGGGGUUGGAAAGUUUCGGCGGUUGGGGAUGGACUCGCGGCUUAUCAGCUUGUUGGUGGGGUAGUGGCUUACCAAGGCUUUGACGGGUAGCCGGCCUGAGAGGGUGACCGGCCACAUUGGGACUGAGAUACGGCCCAGACUCCUACGGGAGGCAGCAGUGGGGAAUAUUGCACAAUGGGCGGAAGCCUGAUGCAGCAACGCCGCGUGCGGGAUGACGGCCUUCGGGUUGUAAACCGCUUUCGCCUGUGACGAAGCGUGAGUGACGGUAAUGGGUAAAGAAGCACCGGCUAACUACGUG
rnacentral:rRNA from 1 species